rnacentral:misc_RNA from 1 species
UUUCCGUAGGUGAACCUGCGGAAGGAUCAUUAUUGUAUAACCGAGGUGCGAGGGCUGUCGCUGACUCGAAAGGUCGUGCACGCCCGAGUGCCCUCACACACAUCCAUCUCACCCCUAUGUGCACCACCGCGUGGGUCCCCCUUUGGCUUGUUCGGAGGGGGGCUUACGUUUUCACACAAACUUUGUAUGCAGUGUAGAAUGUAUUUUUUGUUUUUGCGAUCACGCAAUCAAUACAACUUUCAACAACGGAUCUCUUGGCUCUU